rnacentral:lncRNA from 1 species
CUGCGCAUGGGGAGAGCACGAUGUUGCUAUAUUUGUACUUGCAGACUUGGAACGAGAAUCAUAUCUGGAGAGAUGUGAUGUGCACAUUGAAUGUUUUCCAGGGGGGCUGAGGAAAUCCAGCACAAUGAAGUGUGAGCUGUCUUGAAACUUCGGGUUGCUAAUGGAGGAAGGCAGAGCACAUACCAUUUCUGAAAUGGAACUGAAAUGGUAGAAACUUGUGCCUGGUUCUCCAAACCCUGCUUAACUGUGGGAUCACACAUACCAUAGUAAAACACUGAAAUAACGGUAGUUGCUUUUUAAUUUUUUUAUUUUUUCUCCAAGUUACCCUCAAAAUAUGUUGUUCCUUAAUUUUGUCUCCUAGGAUGUCAGUGUCAGAGACGGGACCUCUCUCUAGUCAUUUUGGGAGGGAGAUGUUGCUGUUACAAGAGCUAUCUUUAAGCAAGCCAAGCUUUUCCUGCUGAGGCCUGGAGGGGCUGUGAUGCAGCACCGCUUUGCUGCAGUCACCUUACUUCACAGCAGCACAGUCUCUCCCCACACUUCUGUCUCAACUGUCUUCUGUCAGAUCCCUUCUUGCCUAUUAGUGAGGUCUCCGGAAUCACCACAAGCUUGUAGUCAGCAAAGCUACUCCUGUUGUAAGUGUCAGGGCCCUGAGGGCACUAAUAGGUCCUAAUUAGCCUGAUCAGCUUUACCUGGAGUCUGCAUCCCACACCCAUGCCUGUAGACCCAGGAACCCAGUUCAGCUCCUUAUGGGGCCUUCAGUCCCUGCCUGAGUCCCAUGAUGUGAGUGCUCGUCUCCAGCUCAGCCCCAAAUGUGCUUGGCCAUGGAUCCUACUGAUCUGGACCCCAACUGAUGUGGUGAUGUCCCAGCCCGGACUCCGACCUGCCUUGUCGCUGUGGAUGUGCCUCACAGACUGCCACAGGGCCUGGAUCUGUGGCUGCCUGCGUAUCAUGAAGCUUGCUGCUUAACAACAGAAAUAAAGCACUCAUCAGACAGAAGCGAUGCGUCA